rnacentral:rRNA from 1 species
AGAGUUUGAUCAUGGCUCAGAACGUACGCUGGCGGCACGCCUAACACAUGCAAGUCGAACGAAGUAGCAAUACUUAGUGGCAGACGGGUGAGUAACAUGUAGGUAUCUGCCCUUUGGCCUGGAAUAACACGAGGAAACUUGUGCUAAUACCGGAUAAGUCUUUACGGAGAAAGCUUUAUGCACCAUUGGAUGAGCCUGCACUUGAUUAGUUUGUUGGUGGGGUAAUGGCCUACCAAGACUGUGAUCAAUAGCUGAUUUGAGAGGAUGAUCAGCCACAUUGGGACUGAGACACGGCCCAAACUCCUACGGGAGGCAGCAGUGGGGAAUCUUGCACAAUGGAGGAAACUCUGAUGCAGCGAUGCCGCGUGAGUGAAGAAGGCCUUUGGGUUGUAAAGCUCUUUCGUCGGGGAAGAAAAUGACUGUACCCGAAUAAGAAGGUCCGGCUAACUUCGUGCCAGCAGCCGCGGUAAUACGAAGGGACCUAGCGUAGUUCGGAAUUACUGGGCUUAAAGAGUUCGUAGGUGGUUGAAAAAGUUAGUGGUGAAAUCCCAGAGCUUAACUCUGGAACUGCCAUUAAAACUUUUCAGCUAGAGUAUGAUAGAGGAAAGCAGAAUUUCUAGUGUAGAGGUGAAAUUCGUAGAUAUUAGAAAGAAUACCAAUUGCGAAGGCAGCUUUCUGGAUCAUUACUGACACUGAGGAACGAAAGCAUGGGUAGCGAAGAGGAUUAGAUACCCUCGUAGUCCAUGCCGUAAACGAUGUGUGUUAGACGUUGGAAAUUUAUUUUCAGUGUCGCAGGGAAACCGAUAAACACACCGCCUGGGGAGUACGACCGCAAGGUUAAAACUCAAAUGAAUUGACGGGGACCCGCACAAGUAGUGGAGCAUGUGGUUUAAUUCGAAGAUACGCGCAGAACCUUACCAACACUUGACAUGUUCGUCGCGACUCUAAGAGAUUAGAGUUUUCGGUUCGGCCGGACGAAACACAGGUGCUGCAUGGCUGUCGUCAGCUCGUGUCGUGAGAUGUUGGGUUAAGUCCCGCAACGAGCGCAACCCUCACUUUUAGUUGCCAUCAUUAAGUUGGGCACUCUGAAAGAACUGCCAGUGAUAGGCUGGAGGAAGGUGGGGAUGACGUCAAGUCCUCAUGGCCCUUACGUGUUGGGCUACACACGUGCUACAAUGGUAUCUACAACAGGAAGCAAGACUGCGAAGUUAAGCAAAUCCCUAAAAGAUACCUCAGUUCGGAUUGCACUCUGCAACUCGAGUGCAUGAAGCUGGAAUUACUAGUAAUCGUGGAUCAGCGUGCCACGGUGAAUGCGUUCCCGGGUCUUGUACACACCGCCCGUCACACCAUGGGAGUUGGUUCUACCUUAAGGCAAGGUUUCAAACCCUUGACCACGGUAUAGUCAGCGACUGGGGUGAAGUCGUAACAAGGUA